UUUUUUUUUACCUUUUUAAUUUUUUUUUUAAUUUCUUCCUUCAACAUUAGUUUUACUAGAAAUUGAGCUUUGUUUCUUUUUUAUUUUGCUUUUCAUGAGAUUAUCACGCUUUCAUUUAAUUUUUUCUUUGUUAUUAAAUAAGAUCAUAAAAACCUUUUAAGAAUAUUGAGAGGAUAUUUUUACUUGGUAUUGACAAACAUUUAUUUUUUGAGUUGAUCAUUGUAAAAAAAAAUUGGUUUAUUUAUUGUUGUAAUUUUUAUUCAUAUUAUUAAACUAGUUGUUAAUGACCCG
rnacentral:lncRNA from 1 species